GCCUCUAUAGCUCAGUGGCAGAGCGUCUGUCUCGAACUAGAAGUCCGGUCCAAUCCCAGCAUGGAGGCU